UACGAAGGGGGCUAGCGUUGUUCGGAAUUACUGGGCGUAAAGCGCACGUAGGCGGACUAUUAAGUCAGGGGUGAAAUCCCGGGGCUCAACCCCGGAACUGCCUUUGAUACUGGUAGUCUCGAGUCCGGAAGAGGUGAGUGGAAUUCCGAGUGUAGAGGUGAAAUUCGUAGAUAUCUGGAGGAACAACAGAAGCGAAGGCGGCUUUCUGGACUGUCACUGACGCUGAGGAGCGAAAGCGUGGGGAGCAAACGGG
rnacentral:rRNA from 1 species